rnacentral:rRNA from 1 species
GACAGAGGCCUCAAGCGUUAGGCGGAAUCACUGGGCUUAAAGCGUGUGUAGGCGGAUCGUUAAGUGUCUUGUGAAAUCCCCACGGCUCACCCGUGGAACUGCUGGGGCAUACUGGCGAUCUUGGGCCAACUAGGGGCAACUGGAACAAGCGGUGGAGCGGUGAAAUGCGUAGAUAUCGCUUGGAACGCCAAAGGUGAAAACAGGU